rnacentral:rRNA from 1 species
GUCUCUUGUGAAAUCUAAUGGCUUAACCAUUAAACUGCUUGGGAAACUGAUAGUCUAGAGUGAGGGAGAGGCAGAUGGAAUUGGUGGUGUAGGGGUAAAAUCCGUAGAUAUCACCAAGAAUACCCAUUGCGAAGGCGAUCUGCUGGAACUCAACUGACGCUAAGGCGCGAAAGCGUGGGGAGCAAACAGGAUUAGAUACCCUGGUAGUCCACGCCCUAAACGAUGUACACUAGUUGUUGGGGUGCUAGUCAUCUCAGUAAUGCAGCUAACGCAUUAAGUGUACCGCCUGGGGAGUACGGUCGCAAGAUUAAAACUCAAAGGAAUAGACGGGGACCCGCACAAGCGGUGGAGCAUGUGGUUUAAUUCGAAGAUACGCGAAGAACCUUACCUGGGCUUGAUAUCCUAAGAACCUUAUAGAGAUAUGAGGGUGCUAGCUUGCUAGAACUUAGAGACAGGUGCUGCACGGCUGUCGUCAGCUCGUGUCGUGAGAUGUUGGGUUAAGUCCCGCAACGAGCGCAACCCACGUAUUUAGUUGCUAACGGUUCGGCCGAGCACUCUAAAUAGACUGCCUUCGUAAGGAGGAGGAAGGUGUGGACGACGUCAAGUCAUCAUGGCCCUUAUGCCCAGGGCGACACACGUGCUACAAUGGCAUAUACAAUGAGACGCAAUACCGCGAGGUGGAGCAAAUCUAUAAAAUAUGUCCCAGUUCGGAUUGUUCUCUGCAACUCGAGAGCAUGAAGCCGGAAUCGCUAGUAAUCGUAGAUCAGCCAUGCUACGGUGAAUACGUUCCCGGGUCUUGUACUCACCGCCCGUCACACCAUGGGAGUUGAUUUCACUCGAAGCCGGAAUACUAAACUAGUUACCGUCCACAGUGGAAUCAGCGACUGGGGUGAAGUCGUAACAAGGUAACCGUAGGAGAACCUGCGGUUGGAUCACCUCCUUU